rnacentral:rRNA from 1 species
UAAUACGUAGGGGGCGAGCGUUGUCCGGAUUUAUUGGGCGUAAAGGGAGCGCAGGUGGCUAAGUUCGUCGAUAGUGUAAGCUCCAGGCUUAACUUGGAGAGGUCUAUCGAUACUGCUUGGCUUGAGGGCGGUAGAGGAGCACGGAAUUCCAGGUGUAGUGGUGAAAUGCGUAGAUAUCUGGAGGAACACCAGUGGCGAAAGCGGUGCUCUGGGCCGUCCCUGACACUCAGGCUCGAAAGCGUGGGGAGCGAACAGGAUUAGAUACCCUGGUAGUCCACGCCCUAAACGAUGGAUACUAGAUAUGGGGGGUAUCGACCCCCCCUGUGUCAAAGCUUACGCGUUAAGUAUCCCGCCUGGGAACUACGGUCGCAAGACUA